rnacentral:rRNA from 1 species
UGGCGGACGGGUGAGUAAUGUCUGGGAAACUGCCUGAUGGAGGGGGAUAACUACUGGAAACGGUAGCUAAUACCGCAUAACGUCGCAAGACCAAAGAGGGGGACCUUCGGGCCUCUUGCCAUCAGAUGUGCCCAGAUGGGAUUAGCUAGUAGGUGGGGUAACGGCUCACCUAGGCGACGAUCCCUAGCUGGUCUGAGAGGAUGACCAGCCACACUGGAACUGAGACACGGUCAAG